GGGUUGUGAGGUUAAGCGACUAAGCGUACACGGUGGAUGCCCUGGCAGUCAGAGGCGAUGAAGGACGUGCUAAUCUGCGAUAAGCGUCGGUGAGGUGAUAUGAACCGUUAUAACCGGCGAUUUCCGAAUGGGGAAACCCAGUGUGUUUCGACACACUAUCAUUAACUGAAUCCAUAGGUUAAUGAGGCGAACCGGGGGAACUGAAACAUCUAAGUACCCCGAGGAAAAGAAAUCAACCGAGAUUCCCCCAGUAGCGGCGAGCGAACGGGGAGGAGCCCAGAGCCUGAAUCAGUGUGUGUGUUAGUGGAAGCGUCUGGAAAGGCGCGCGAUACAGGGUGACAGCCCCGUACACAAAAAUGCACAUAUUGUGAGCUCGAUGAGUAGGGCGGGACACGUGGUAUCCUGUCUGAAUAUGGGGGGACCAUCCUCCAAGGCUAAAUACUCCUGACUGACCGAUAGUGAACCAGUACCGUGAGGGAAAGGCGAAAAGAACCCCGGCGAGGGGAGUGAAAAAGAACCUGAAACCGUGUACGUACAAGCAGUGGGAGCCUCUUAAUGGGGUGACUGCGUACCUUUUGUAUAAUGGGUCAGCGACUUAUAUUCUGUAGCAAGGUUAACCGAAUAGGGGAGCCGAAGGGAAACCGAGUCUUAACUGGGCGUUAAGUUGCAGGGUAUAGACCCGAAACCCGGUGAUCUAGCCAUGGGCAGGUUGAAGGUUGGGUAACACUAACUGGAGGACCGAACCGACUAAUGUUGAAAAAUUAGCGGAUGACUUGUGGCUGGGGGUGAAAGGCCAAUCAAACCGGGAGAUAGCUGGUUCUCCCCGAAAGCUAUUUAGGUAGCGCCUCGUGAAUUCAUCUCCGGGGGUAGAGCACUGUUUCGGCAAGGGGGUCAUCCCGACUUACCAACCCGAUGCAAACUGCGAAUACCGGAGAAUGUUAUCACGGGAGACACACGGCGGGUGCUAACGUCCGUCGUGAAGAGGGAAACAACCCAGACCGCCAGCUAAGGUCCCAAAGUCAUGGUUAAGUGGGAAACGAUGUGGGAAGGCCCAGACAGCCAGGAUGUUGGCUUAGAAGCAGCCAUCAUUUAAAGAAAGCGUAAUAGCUCACUGGUCGAGUCGGCCUGCGCGGAAGAUGUAACGGGGCUAAACCAUGCACCGAAGCUGCGGCAGCGACGCUUAUGCGUUGUUGGGUAGGGGAGCGUUCUGUAAGCCUGCGAAGGUGUGCUGUGAGGCAUGCUGGAGGUAUCAGAAGUGCGAAUGCUGACAUAAGUAACGAUAAAGCGGGUGAAAAGCCCGCUCGCCGGAAGACCAAGGGUUCCUGUCCAACGUUAAUCGGGGCAGGGUGAGUCGACCCCUAAGGCGAGGCCGAAAGGCGUAGUCGAUGGGAAACAGGUUAAUAUUCCUGUACUUGGUGUUACUGCGAAGGGGGGACGGAGAAGGCUAUGUUGGCCGGGCGACGGUUGUCCCGGUUUAAGCGUGUAGGCUGGUUUUCCAGGCAAAUCCGGAAAAUCAAGGCUGAGGCGUGAUGACGAGGCACUACGGUGCUGAAGCAACAAAUGCCCUGCUUCCAGGAAAAGCCUCUAAGCAUCAGGUAACAUCAAAUCGUACCCCAAACCGACACAGGUGGUCAGGUAGAGAAUACCAAGGCGCUUGAGAGAACUCGGGUGAAGGAACUAGGCAAAAUGGUGCCGUAACUUCGGGAGAAGGCACGCUGAUAUGUAGGUGAAGCGACUUGCUCGUGGAGCUGAAAUCAGUCGAAGAUACCAGCUGGCUGCAACUGUUUAUUAAAAACACAGCACUGUGCAAACACGAAAGUGGACGUAUACGGUGUGACGCCUGCCCGGUGCCGGAAGGUUAAUUGAUGGGGUUAGCGGUAACGCGAAGCUCUUGAUCGAAGCCCCGGUAAACGGCGGCCGUAACUAUAACGGUCCUAAGGUAGCGAAAUUCCUUGUCGGGUAAGUUCCGACCUGCACGAAUGGCGUAAUGAUGGCCAGGCUGUCUCCACCCGAGACUCAGUGAAAUUGAACUCGCUGUGAAGAUGCAGUGUACCCGCGGCAAGACGGAAAGACCCCGUGAACCUUUACUAUAGCUUGACACUGAACAUUGAGCCUUGAUGUGUAGGAUAGGUGGGAGGCUUUGAAGUGUGGACGCCAGUCUGCAUGGAGCCGACCUUGAAAUACCACCCUUUAAUGUUUGAUGUUCUAACGUUGGCCCGUAAUCCGGGUUGCGGACAGUGUCUGGUGGGUAGUUUGACUGGGGCGGUCUCCUCCUAAAGAGUAACGGAGGAGCACGAAGGUUGGCUAAUCCUGGUCGGACAUCAGGAGGUUAGUGCAAUGGCAUAAGCCAGCUUGACUGCGAGCGUGACGGCGCGAGCAGGUGCGAAAGCAGGUCAUAGUGAUCCGGUGGUUCUGAAUGGAAGGGCCAUCGCUCAACGGAUAAAAGGUACUCCGGGGAUAACAGGCUGAUACCGCCCAAGAGUUCAUAUCGACGGCGGUGUUUGGCACCUCGAUGUCGGCUCAUCACAUCCUGGGGCUGAAGUAGGUCCCAAGGGUAUGGCUGUUCGCCAUUUAAAGUGGUACGCGAGCUGGGUUUAGAACGUCGUGAGACAGUUCGGUCCCUAUCUGCCGUGGGCGCUGGAGAACUGAGGGGGGCUGCUCCUAGUACGAGAGGACCGGAGUGGACGCAUCACUGGUGUUCGGGUUGUCAUGCCAAUGGCACUGCCCGGUAGCUAAAUGCGGAAGAGAUAAGUGCUGAAAGCAUCUAAGCACGAAACUUGCCCCGAGAUGAGUUCUCCCUGAGACUUAGAGUCUCCUGAAGGAACGUUGAAGACGACGACGUUGAUAGGCCGGGUGUGUAAGCGCAGCGAUGCGUUGAGCUAACCGGUACUAAUGAACCGUGAGGCUUAACCUUACAACGCCGAAG
rnacentral:rRNA from 1 species